rnacentral:rRNA from 1 species
UACGAAGGGGGCUAGCGUUGUUCGGAAUCACUGGGCGUAAAGGGCGCGUAGGCGGCUGUUCAAGUCGGGGGUGAAAGCCUGUGGCUCAACCACAGAAUGGCCUUCGAUACUGGACGGCUCGAGACCGGAAGAGGUAAGUGGAACUGCGAGUGUAGAGGUGAAAUUCGUAGAUAUUCGCAAGAACACCAGUGGCGAAGGCGGCUUACUGGUCCGGUUCUGACGCUGAGGCGCGAAAGCGUGGGGAGCAAACAGG